GUGAGGAAUAUUGCGCAAUGGAGGCAACUCUGACGCAGCCAUGCCGCGUGCAGGAAGAAGGCGCUACGCGUUGUAAACUGCUUUUAACCGGGAAGAAACCCCAGGACGUGUCCUGGGUUGACGGUACCGGCGGAAUAAGCACCGGCUAACUUCGUGCCAGCAGCCGCGGGAAUACGAAGGGUGCAAGCGUUAUCCGGAGUCAUUGGGUUUAAAGUGUUCGUAGGCGGAGCGUUAAGUCAGUGGUGUAAUCUUGCAGCUUAACUGUAGACUUGCCAUUGAUACUGGCGCUCUUGAGUGCGCUUGAAGUGGGCGGAAUGUGCCGUGUAGCGGUGAAAUGCUUAGAUAUGGCACAGAACACCAAGUGCGAAGGCAGCUCACUAAGGCGAUACUGACGCUGAGGCACGAAAGCGUGGGGAUCGAACAGGAUUAGAAACCCGGGUAGUCC
rnacentral:rRNA from 1 species